rnacentral:rRNA from 1 species
CCAGACUCCUACGGGAGGCAGCAGUGGGGAAUAUUGCACAAUGGGGGAAACCCUGAUGCAGCGACGCCGCGUGAGUGAAGAAGUAUUUCGGUAUGUAAAGCUCUAUCAGCGGGGAAGAAAAUGACGGUACCUGACUAAGAAGCCCCGGCUAACUACGUGCCAGCAGCCGCGGUAAUACGUAGGGGGCAAGCGUUAUCCGGAUUUACUGGGUGUAAAGGGAGCGUAGACGGCAUGGCAAGUCAGAUGUGAAAGCCCGGGGCUCAACCCCGGGACUGCAUUUGAAACUGUCAGGCUGGAGUGCAGGAGAGGUAAGUGGAAUUCCUAGUGUAGCGGUGAAAUGCGUAGAUAUUAGGAGGAACACCAGUGGCGAAGGCGGCUUGCUGGACUGUAACUGACGUUGAGGCUCGAAAGCGUAGGGAGCAAACAGGAUUAGAUACCCCAGUA